rnacentral:rRNA from 1 species
ACUCCUACGGAGGCAGCAGUGGGGAAUAUUGCACAAUGGGCGCAAGCCUGAUGCAUCCAUGCCGCGUGUAUGAAGAAGGCCUUCGGGUUGUAAAGUACUUUCAGCGGGGAGGAAGGUGUUGAGGUUAAUAACCUCGUCGAUUGACGUUACCCGCAGAAGAAGCACCGGCUAACUCCGUGCCAGCAGCCGCGGUAAU